GAUGCACAGGAAAUAUGGGGCAGAUUGGAUAAUAAAACCACAUUGAGGUCGUUCACCUAAAUGUUCUCCUCUCAAAUUCCUUAAGAGCAUCUUGACUGAAUUUGAAACCCAUCGCAUUAAGUCUGUAGAAGGAGUUGGUUGAACAGCUAAAAACGAUGAAAAACGUAAAUGUAAAAAGGAAAUUGGCGAUGAAUAUUCAAGUCACAGAAUAUUAUUCCCAAUACAAUCCUAUCAUGUGACAUGUAUAAUGGUUGCUGUUCAGUAAUGUGAUGGGGGAUAGAAUACAUCUUCCAUCAAUCAAAUGACCAGAUGGAAGUGAUAUCGUUACAUUAUACAUAAAGGUAUUUCCCCGAUAGGACCCCUGGUGCUGUAAUGACGUCACUAUUUAGCUCAGGUCGACGAGCGGCCCUGAUGACGCGUCCAAGAUGGCCGACAGGCCCCUGAGCUGUAACUUCCGCUGCCCGACUGUUCGUGACGAUGGAGACCUGAUGGAUGAAAGGAGACUGACUGAAAAUGUUGGAGGAGCAGCUGGAAAACAACAAGGUUCAAGACAAGCGGACGGAGGACGAAAUGAACAAAGCUGCUGAAUGAGCAGAGACACUUGAAGGUCCUGGAGGAGACGAGGAGGAUGGAGGAACAUUUGGGCGCAGUUUCCAGACCUGAGGACGGCAGGUUUCUUCUUCUGCUCUGCGGUUACUCUGAGAAGUAACUUUGACAGUUUGGGGGUGGUUCAGCUUUUGUCAAAUGUUUGCUGUGCAGCUGAAUUUUAAUAAAGAAUAAUGUAGCAUAA